AGUGUGGAGAGGGAGAGAGGAGAGGGAAGCAAGUAAAAGGGCUGUUGAAGAAGGAGCGCUGGAAGAGUGUGGGCGAAUGACUCGAGAACGUGAAGCCUAUAUAUACGUAAUGACAGAUAAUUCCCUACCGAGACGAGAAGGUUGAGCUCAUAGUGAAGAAUAAUCACAUCAGCAGUUACAGUUGCAACAGUAGACACAUCUGGUUCUUGAACAGAAUCUGGACAGAAUCAUAUGUUCUCAGUGUCGCCACCAGUUCUGCAGUAGCUGCUACAACACCUUCCACCCAAGAAAUUUGUGGAACAAAAUUAAUUCACUGAUGUCAUCACAGCAUUAACUCAUAUGUUAUAUUUCAAGAAAUGUACAGUCCCUUCCUGUACAGUAAGGACGUCUCUCCAUGCUCACCAUCCUAGAGAUUGUCUAUUUUACCUACGAGAUUGGGAUGUGACACGUCUGCAGAGACUGCU